UACGGAGGGUGCAAGCGUUAAUCGGAAUUACUGGGCGUAAAGCGCGCGCAGGCGGUUUGUUAAGUCCGUUGUGAAAGCCCCGAGCUCAACUUGGGAAUUGCAGUGGAUACUGGCAGGCUGGAGUACGGUAGAGGAAGGUGGAAUUCCCGGUGUAGCAGUGAAAUGCGUAGAGAUCGGGAGGAACAUCAGUGGCGAAGGCGGCCAUCUGGGACAACACUGACGCUGAAGCACGAAAGCGUGGGGAGCAAACAGG
rnacentral:rRNA from 1 species